CCUACGGGAGGCAGCAGUGAGGAAUAUUGGUCAAUGGACGCAAGUCUGAACCAGCCAUGCCGCGUGCAGGAAGACGGCUCUAUGAGUUGUAAACUGCUUUUGUCUGGGGGUAAACGGAGACACGUGUAUCUGUCUGAAUGUACCGUACGAAUAAGGAUCGGCGAACUCCGUGCCAGCAGCCGCGGUAAUACGGAGGAUCCAAGCGUUAUCCGGAUUUAUUGGGUUUAAAGGGUGCGUAGGCGGUCGGUUAAGUUAGAGGUGAAAGCCCGAGGCUCAACCUCGGAAUUGCUGCUGAAACUGGCCGGCUAGAGUAUAGUAGAGGUAGGCGGAA
rnacentral:rRNA from 1 species